rnacentral:rRNA from 1 species
ACGAACGCUGGCGGCCUGCCUAACACCUGCCAGUCGCACGAGACCUUCGGGUCUAGUGGCGCACGGGUGCGUAACGCGUGGGAACCUGCCCUUAGGUUCGGAAUAACUCCCCGAAAGGGGUGCUAAUACCGGAUAAUGUCUUCGGACCAAAGAUUUAUCGCCUUUGGAUGGGCCCGCGUUGGAUUAGCUAGUUGGUAGGGUAAAAGCCUACCAAGGCGACGAUCCAUAGCUGGUCUGAGAGGAUGAUCAGCCACACUGGGACUGAGACACGGCCCAGACUCCUACGGGAGGCAGCAGUGGGGAAUAUUGGACAAUGGGCGAAAGCCUGAUCCAGCAAUGCCGCGUGAGUGAUGAAGGCCUUAGGGUUGUAAAGCUCUUUUACCCGGGAUGAUAAUGACAGUACCGGGAGAAUAAGCUCCGGCCAACUACGUG